rnacentral:rRNA from 1 species
UACGAGGGGGGCAAGCGUUGUUCGGAAUUAUUGGGCGUAAAGGGUGCGUAGGCGGUCUGACAAGUCUGAUGUGAAAAUCUCACAGCUUAACUGUGAAACUGCAUUGGAUACUAUCCGGCUCGAGGAAUGGAGGGGAGACUGGAAAUACUUGGUGUAGCAGUGAAAUGCGUAGAUAUCAAGUGGAACACCAGUGGCGAAGGCGAGUCUCUGGACAUUUCCUGACGCUGAGGCACGAAAGCCAGGGGAGCAAACGGG